rnacentral:sRNA from 1 species
GGUUGCUCCAGAAUGCCUUUUCGCCCCUAGGGGCGGGACCGACGGGAUGGGCCCUGUGGCUGGCUCCUCCCCCUGCAUCCUGCUCUCUCCGCCCCUCCGAUCGCCUGGUGUCGUCUCAGGACGCAGCGUGAUGACGUAGUUCCCCGACAUUCCACAUGCAAGAUGGCCGCAGUCGGCAAGGAGAGACGUCGCUGAGGGGAUUGCCUGAAGCGAGGGGAUCCUAACAUUUUCAGAGAACCUUUUGGAAAGAACAAGUCUACUUCAAUAAAUGAAGGAGAAUAAAGAAAAUUCAAGCCCUUCAGUAACUUCAGCAAACCUGGACCACACAAAGCCAUGUUGGUACUGGGAUAAGAAAGACCUGGCUCAUACACCCUCACAGCUUGAAGGACUUGAUCCAGCCACUGAGGCCCGGUACCGCCGAGAGGGCGCUCGGUUCAUCUUUGAUGUGGGCACACGUUUGGGGCUACACUAUGAUACCCUGGCAACUGGAAUAAUUUAUUUUCAUCGCUUCUAUAUGUUUCAUUCCUUCAAGCAAUUCCCAAGAUAUGUGACAGGAGCCUGUUGCCUAUUUCUGGCUGGGAAAGUAGAAGAAACACCAAAAAAAUGUAAAGAUAUCAUCAAAACAGCUCGUAGUUUAUUAAAUGAUGUACAAUUUGGCCAGUUUGGAGACGACCCAAAGGAGGAAGUAAUGGUUCUGGAGAGAAUCUUACUGCAGACCAUCAAGUUUGAUUUACAGGUAGAACAUCCAUACCAGUUCCUACUCAAAUAUGCAAAGCAACUCAAAGUCUCUGCACCACCUUGUCACUGCAGUGGGAACCAGAGAUCAUAGCAGUAGCAGUGAUGUAUCUCGCAGGACGUUUGUGCAAAUUUGAAAUACAAGAAUGGACCUCCAAACCCAUGUAUAGGAGAUGGUGGGAGCAGUUUGUUCAGGAUGUCCCAGUCGACGUUUUGGAAG